rnacentral:tRNA from 2 species
GCUAGUGUAGCUUAAAUCAAAGCAUAACACUGAAGAUGUUAAGAUGGGCCGUAAGAAGCCCCACGGGCA